ACGCUGGCGGCACGCCUAACACAUGCAAGUCGAACGAAGUAGCAAUACUUAGUGGCAGACGGGUGAGUAACAUGUAGGUAUCUGCCCUUUGGCCUGGAAUAACACGAGGAAACUUGUGCUAAUACCGGAUAAGUCUUUACGGAGAAAGCUUUAUGCACCAUUGGAUGAGCCUGCACUUGAUUAGUUUGUUGGUGGGGUAAUGGCCUACCAAGACUGUGAUCAAUAGCUGAUUUGAGAGGAUGAUCAGCCACAUUGGGACUGAGACACGGCCCAAACUCCUACGGGAGGCAGCAGUGGGGAAUCUUGCACAAUGGAGGAAACUCUGAUGCAGCGAUGCCGCGUGAGUGAAGAAGGCCUUUGGGUUGUAAAGCUCUUUCGUCGGGGAAGAAAAUGACUGUACCCGAAUAAGAAGGUCCGGCUAACUUCGUGCCAGCAGCCGCGGUAAUACGAAGGGACCUAGCGUAGUUCGGAAUUACUGGGCUUAAAGAGUUCGUAGGUGGUUGAAAAAGUUAGUGGUGAAAUCCCAGAGCUUAACUCUGGAACUGCCAUUAAAACUUUUCAGCUAGAGUAUGAUAGAGGAAAGCAGAAUUUCUAGUGUAGAGGUGAAAUUCGUAGAUAUUAGAAAGAAUACCAAUUGCGAAGGCAGCUUUCUGGAUCAUUACUGACACUGAGGAACGAAAGCAUGGGUAGCGAAGAGGAUUAGAUACCCUCGUAGUCCAUGCCGUAAACGAUGUGUGUUAGACGUUGGAAAUUUAUUUUCAGUGUCGCAGGGAAACCGAUAAACACACCGCCUGGGGAGUACGACCGCAAGGUUAAAACUCAAAUGAAUUGACGGGGACCCGCACAAGUAGUGGAGCAUGUGGUUUAAUUCGAAGAUACGCGCAGAACCUUACCAACACUUGACAUGUUCGUCGCGACUCUAAGAGAUUAGAGUUUUCGGUUCGGCCGGACGAAACACAGGUGCUGCAUGGCUGUCGUCAGCUCGUGUCGUGAGAUGUUGGGUUAAGUCCCGCAACGAGCGCAACCCUCACUUUUAGUUGCCAUCAUUAAGUUGGGCACUCUGAAAGAACUGCCAGUGAUAAGCUGGAGGAAGGUGGGGAUGACGUCAAGUCCUCAUGGCCCUUACGUGUUGGGCUACACACGUGCUACAAUGGUAUCUACAACAGGAAGCAAGACUGCGAAGUUAAGCAAAUCCCUAAAAGAUACCUCAGUUCGGAUUGCACUCUGCAACUCGAGUGCAUGAAGCUGGAAUUACUAGUAAUCGUGGAUCAGCGUGCCACGGUGAAUACGUUCCCGGGUCUUGUACUCACCGC
rnacentral:rRNA from 1 species